UUAAGCGACUAAGCGUACACGGUGGAUGCCCUGGCAGUCAGAGGCGAUGAAGGACGUGCUAAUCUGCGAUAAGCGUCGGUGAGGUGAUAUGAACCGUUAUAACCGGCGAUUUCCGAAUGGGGAAACCCAGUGUGUUUCGACACACUAUCAUUAACUGAAUCCAUAGGUUAAUGAGGCGAACCGGGGGAACUGAAACAUCUAAGUACCCCGAGGAAAAGAAAUCAACCGAGAUUCCCCCAGUAGCGGCGAGCGAACGGGGAGGAGCCCAGAGCCUGAAUCAGUGUGUGUGUUAGUGGAAGCGUCUGGAAAGGCGCGCGAUACAGGGUGACAGCCCCGUACACAAAAAUGCACAUGCUGUGAGCUCGAUGAGUAGGGCGGGACACGUGGUAUCCUGUCUGAAUAUGGGGGGACCAUCCUCCAAGGCUAAAUACUCCUGACUGACCGAUAGUGAACCAGUACCGUGAGGGAAAGGCGAAAAGAACCCCGGCGAGGGGAGUGAAAAAGAACCUGAAACCGUGUACGUACAAGCAGUGGGAGCCUCUUAAUGGGGUGACUGCGUACCUUUUGUAUAAUGGGUCAGCGACUUAUAUUCUGUAGCAAGGUUAACCGAAUAGGGGAGCCGAAGGGAAACCGAGUCUUAACUGGGCGUUAAGUUGCAGGGUAUAGACCCGAAACCCGGUGAUCUAGCCAUGGGCAGGUUGAAGGUUGGGUAACACUAACUGGAGGACCGAACCGACUAAUGUUGAAAAAUUAGCGGAUGACUUGUGGCUGGGGGGGAAAGGCCAAUCAAACCGGGAGAUAGCUGGUUCUCCCCGAAAGCUAUUUAGGUAGCGCCUCGUGAAUUCAUCUCCGGGGGUAGAGCACUGUUUCGGCAAGGGGGUCAUCCCGACUUACCAACCCGAUGCAAACUGCGAAUACCGGAGAAUGUUAUCACGGGAGACACACGGCGGGUGCUAACGUCCGUCGUGAAGAGGGAAACAACCCAGACCGCCAGCUAAGGUCCCAAAGUCAUGGUUAAGUGGGAAACGAUGUGGGAAGGCCCAGACAGCCAGGAUGUUGGCUUAGAAGCAGCCAUCAUUUAAAGAAAGCGUAAUAGCUCACUGGUCGAGUCGGCCUGCGCGGAAGAUGUAACGGGGCUAAACCAUGCACCGAAGCUGCGGCAGCGACACUAUGUGUUGUUGGGUAGGGGAGCGUUCUGUAAGCCUGUGAAGGUGGCCUGUGAGGGUUGCUGGAGGUAUCAGAAGUGCGAAUGCUGACAUAAGUAACGAUAAAGCGGGUGAAAAGCCCGCUCGCCGGAAGACCAAGGGUUCCUGUCCAACGUUAAUCGGGGCAGGGUGAGUCGACCCCUAAGGCGAGGCCGAAAGGCGUAGUCGAUGGGAAACAGGUUAAUAUUCCUGUACUUGGUGUUACUGCGAAGGGGGGACGGAGAAGGCUAUGUUGGCCGGGCGACGGUUGUCCCGGUUUAAGCGUGUAGGCUGGUUUUCCAGGCAAAUCCGGAAAACCAAGGCUGAGGCGUGAUGACGAGGCACUACGGUGCUGAAGCGACAAAUGCCCUGCUUCCAGGAAAAGCCUCUAAGCAUCAGGUAACAUCAAAUCGUACCCCAAACCGACACAGGUGGUCAGGUAGAGAAUACCAAGGCGCUUGAGAGAACUCGGGUGAAGGAACUAGGCAAAAUGGUGCCGUAACUUCGGGAGAAGGCACGCUGAUAUGUAGGUGAAGCGACUUGCUCGUGGAGCUGAAAUCAGUCGAAGAUACCAGCUGGCUGCAACUGUUUAUUAAAAACACAGCACUGUGCAAACACGAAAGUGGACGUAUACGGUGUGACGCCUGCCCGGUGCCGGAAGGUUAAUUGAUGGGGUUAGCGGUAACGCGAAGCUCUUGAUCGAAGCCCCGGUAAACGGCGGCCGUAACUAUAACGGUCCUAAGGUAGCGAAAUUCCUUGUCGGGUAAGUUCCGACCUGCACGAAUGGCGUAAUGAUGGCCAGGCUGUCUCCACCCGAGACUCAGUGAAAUUGAACUCGCUGUGAAGAUGCAGUGUACCCGCGGCAAGACGGAAAGACCCCGUGAACCUUUACUAUAGCUUGACACUGAACAUUGAGCCUUGAUGUGUAGGAUAGGUGGGAGGCUUUGAAGUGUGGACGCCAGUCUGCAUGGAGCCGACCUUGAAAUACCACCCUUUAAUGUUUGAUGUUCUAACGUUGGCCCCUAAUCGGGGUUGCGGACAGUGUCUGGUGGGUAGUUUGACUGGGGCGGUCUCCUCCUAAAGAGUAACGGAGGAGCACGAAGGUUGGCUAAUCCUGGUCGGACAUCAGGAGGUUAGUGCAAUGGCAUAAGCCAGCUUGACUGCGAGCGUGACGGCGCGAGCAGGUGCGAAAGCAGGUCAUAGUGAUCCGGUGGUUCUGAAUGGAAGGGCCAUCGCUCAACGGAUAAAAGGUACUCCGGGGAUAACAGGCUGAUACCGCCCAAGAGUUCAUAUCGACGGCGGUGUUUGGCACCUCGAUGUCGGCUCAUCACAUCCUGGGGCUGAAGUAGGUCCCAAGGGUAUGGCUGUUCGCCAUUUAAAGUGGUACGCGAGCUGGGUUUAGAACGUCGUGAGACAGUUCGGUCCCUAUCUGCCGUGGGCGCUGGAGAACUGAGGGGGGCUGCUCCUAGUACGAGAGGACCGGAGUGGACGCAUCACUGGUGUUCGGGUUGUCAUGCCAAUGGCACUGCCCGGUAGCUAAAUGCGGAAGAGAUAAGUGCUGAAAGCAUCUAAGCACGAAACUUGCCCCGAGAUGAGUUCUCCCUGAGACUUAGAGUCUCCUGAAGGAACGUUGAAGACGACGACGUUGAUAGGCCGGGUGUGUAAGCGCAGCGAUGCGUUGAGCUAACCGGUACUAAUGAACCGUGAGGCUUAACCUU
rnacentral:rRNA from 1 species